GAUUAGAAAGGCCUGCUCCCUGAGCGUUUGACAGUGAUGACGGGUGGUCGUUUGACCGCAGACCCAUUACGGAUGCGGUUUUAUAAAGCUAGCCAGCAUCAGUUAGCGUCACAUUCCAGAUCAGGCUUCAUCCAUACUACGAUGGUGGAUAAUGUCCGUCUGCUACUAACUCUAGCGGGCUUGUAACUGUGUGUGCAUGUUGCACAUGGGCUAGUUGAACACCAUACCAAAGAUGGUACAGUAUGAAGAUAGGCAGAAACUGCUUCUCCAAUAGAAAUCCCCGAUCACACUUGUAGGCGAUGUCAUGGCGACGUUGGCACAGAAACAUGUCAUCCAUCGGGUCUAACGGUCGACUCUCGCCGAACUGCGCAUGUGGCACUCUUUCGAUAUAAGGUUUUUCGCUAAAAUUGACGUGUCAGUUUGUCACGCUCACGAGGUUGGAGUCAUAACAAGUUCCACUACUUAAUAAUCUACGUUUUUAAACAACUAAGAAAAAAAAAUUCACUCCUCUCAUUGACUUCUCAAACCCCGGCCUGGUCUGUUUCGCAAAAGCGUUCCCAGAAGUCUUGUGAUGUUGCGCCUCUGGGUUCAGAAACUCUGUGGUCGAACUCUUCGUUGAGACAAAAACAUCACUUCAUAGACAAGUCAGCGCCACAUUUUAAUUUGUGCAGAAAUCAAAAUGAAAUUAAAGUGAUCUUGCAAAUUCACCAGACUAUGUUGUGAAAUAGGCUCUUAGAAGUGUCGUCUUUAUUUUGUUAAUAAUUGUUAAUGCCUUCUUCGGUGUGCUUAUAGGGAGGCAGGUAGCCUAGUGGUUAGAGCAUUGGGCCAGUAACCGAAAGGUUGCUAGAUCUUAUUUUGUGUGCUUAACAACGCAAAACCACAUUUUCCCACUCCUAUCUGUGGUACAGCUUGUUGUGUUCUGGCUAUAGACAUACAGUAUAAUCCAUUGAAGGGGUUUGAACCUCUACCCUGGCAGUUUGGCUGUUAAUCUCAUGGGUACAGCUUGUUGUGUUCUGGCUAUAGACAUACAGUAUAAUCUGUAGAAGGGGUUUGAACCUCUAACCCUGGCAGUUGGACUGUUAAUCUCAUGGGUACAGCUUGUUGUGUUCUGGCUAUAGACAUACAGUAUAAUCUGUAGAAGGGGUUUGAACCUCUAACCCUGGCAGUUUGGCUGUUAAUCUCAUGGGUACAGCUUGUUGUGUUCUGGCUAUAGACAUACAGUAUAAUCCAUUGAAGGGGUUUGAACCUCUAACCCUGGCAGUUUGGCUGUUAAUCUCAUGGGUACAGCUUGUUGUGUUCUGGCUAUAGACAUACAGUAUAAUCUGUAGAAGGGGUUUGAACCUCUAACCCUGGCAGUUGGACUGUUAAUCUCAUGGGUACAGCUUGUUGUGUUCUGGCUAUAGACAUACAGUAUAAUCUGUAGAAGGGGUUUGAACCUCUAACCCUGGCAGUUGGACUGUUAAUCUCAUGGGUACAGCUUGUUGUGUUCUGGCUAUAGACAUACAGUAUAAUCCAUUGAAGGGGUUUGAACCUCUAACCCUGGCAGUUUGACUGUUAAUCUCAUGGGUACAGCUUGUUGUGUUCUGGCUAUAGACAUACAGUAUAAUCCAUUGAAGGGGUUUGAACCUCUAACCCUGGCAGUUGGACUGUUAAUCUCAUGGGUACAGCUUGUUGUGUUCUGGCUAUAGACAUACAGUAUAAUCUGUAGAAGGGGUUUGAACCUCUAACCCUGGCAGUUUGGCUGUUAAUCUCAUGGGUACAGCUUGUUGUGUUCUGGCUAUAGACAUACAGUAUAAUCCAUUGAAGGGGUUUGAACCUCUAACCCUGGCAGUUUGACUGUUAAUCUCAUGGGUACAGCUUGUUGUGUUCUGGCUAUAGACAUACAGUAUAAUCCAUUGAAGGGGUUUGAACCUCUAACCCUGGCAGUUUGACUGUUAAUCUCAUGGGUACAGCUUGUUGUGUUCUGGCUAUAGACAUACAGUAUAAUCCAUUGAAGGGGUUUGAACCUCUAACCCUGGCAGUUUGACUGUUAAUCUCAUGGGUACACUAGCAAUGACUGCCAGUCUUAACUUGAAUGAGAACAGCCAUCUAUGGAUUAUGUUUAUGGUUGCGUCUGUCAUUUGACUUUUGCAAAUUUCAGAAUACAAUUGUGCAAAAAAAUAUACAGUUUCAUUACUAAAUUAUCAUUACUAUAUGAUAGGUAUUUUAAUUAACAUUCUUUUCUUCUUAUUUUUUUUUACACACAAAACGAUUUGAUGAAUAAAAUAUUUAAUCAGUUGUCUUCCUCAAAUGACGAGGAUGAUGAUACAAUCUUUGUGAGAGGGUGGGAAUCUGAUUUCAUUGGUCCUCAACUCACAGCUCAGACAUUUCAUUCAGGAUAGUGGAGUUAACCCUGAGUUAGCCUGCCCUGGACCAGGUUAGUUCUGGAUACAGGAUAAACAGAGUUAGCCCUGAGUUAGCCUGCCCUGGACCAGGUUAGUUCUGGAUACAGGAUAAACAGAGUUAGCCCUGAGUUAGCCUGCCCUGGACCAGGUUAGUUCUGGAUACAGGAUAAACAGAGUUAGCCCUGAGUUAGCCUGCCCUGGACCAGGUUAGUUCUGAAUGCAGGAUAAACAGAGUUAGCCCUGAGUUAGCCUGCCCUGGACCAGGUUAGUUCUGGAUACAGGAUAAACAGAGUUAGCCCUGAGUUAGCCUGCCCUGGAGCAGGUUAGUUCUGGAUACAGGAUAAACAGAGUUAGCCUGCCCUGGAGCAGGUUAGUUCUGGAUACAGGAUAAACAGAGUUAGCCCUGAGUUAGCCUGCCCUGGACCAGGUUAGUUCUGGAUACAGGAUAAACAGAGUUAGCCCAGAGUUAGCCUGCCCUGGAGCAGGUUAGUUCUGAAUGCAGGAUAAACAGAGUUAGCCCUGAGUUAGCCUGCCCUGGACCAGGUUAGUUCUGGAUACAGGAUAAACAGAGUUAGCCCUGAGUUAGCCUGCCCUGGACCAGGUUAGUUCUGGAUACAGGAUAAACAGAGUUAGCCCUGAGUUAGCCUGCCCUGGAGCAGGUUAGUUCUGGAUACAGGAUAAACAGAGUUAGCCCUGAGUUAGCCUGCCCUGGAGCAGGUUAGUUCUGGAUACAGGAUAAACAGAGUUAGCCCUGAGUUAGCCUGCCCUGGACCAGGUUAGUUCUGAAUGCAGGAUAAACAGAGUUAGCCCUGAGUUAGCCUGCCCUGGACCAGGUUAGUUCUGAAGGAUUCGUUGCCAUAGAAAUGUACCUGGCUAAAAGGCGAGCCACUUUCGUAUGACCGCUUAUCCCGAGUUAAACUCAGAGGUGACCAAAGGUACCUUACUAACUCCUCAAACCCGCUACGUAGUAUAUAUCCCUCAGGGUCCCAGAUCUACGUAGUAUAUAUCCCUCAAGGUCCCAGAUCUACGUAGUAUAUAUCCCUCAAGGUCCCAGAUCUACAUAGUAUAUAGUCCUCAAGGUUCCAGAUCUAUGUAGUAUAUAGUCCUCUAGGUCCCAGAUCUACGUAGUAUACAGUGCCUUGCGAAAGUAUUCGGCCCCCUUGAACUUUGCGACCUUUUGCCACAUUUCAGGCUUCAAA